rnacentral:rRNA from 1 species
GACGAACGCUGGCGGCGUGCUUAACACAUGCAAGUCGAACGAUGAAGCUGGAGCUUGCUCCGGUGGAUUAGUGGCGAACGGGUGAGUAACACGUGAGCAAUCUGCCCUUGACUCUGGGAUAACUGCGGGAAACUGUAGCUAAUACCGGAUACGACACCUUGGGGCAUCCCAGGGUGUGGAAAGAAUUUCGGUCAAGGAUGAGCCCGCGGCCCAACAGCGAGUUGGCGGGGUAACGGCCCACCAAGGCAACGACGGGUAGCUGGUCUGAGAGGACGAUCAGCCACACUGGAACUGAGACACGGUCCAGACUCCUACGGGAGGCAGCAGUGGGGAAUUUUCCACAGUGGGCGAAAGCCUGAUGGAGCAACGCCGCGUGUGUGAUGAAGGUCUUCGGAUCGUAAAGCACUUUCGACUGGGACGAAAAACCUUUGGCUAACAUCCAGGGGCCUGACGGUACCAGGAGAAGAAGCACCGGCUAACUCUGUGCCAGCCGCCGCCGUAA